rnacentral:rRNA from 1 species
CCUACGGGAGGCAGCAGUGGGGAAUAUUGCACAAUGGGGGAAACCCUGAUGCAGCGACGCCGCGUGAGUGAAGAAGUAUUUCGGUGUGUAAAGCUCUAUCUGCAGGGAAGAAGAAAGACGGUCCCUGACUAAGAAUCCCCGGCUAACUACGUGCCAGCAGCCGCGGUAAUACGUAGGGGGCCAGCGUUAUCCGGAUUUACUGGGUGUAAAGGGAGCGUAGACGGCUGUGCAAGUCUGAAGUGAAAGCCCGCGGCUCAACCCUGGGACUGCUUUGGAAACUGGGGAGCUAGAGUGCAGGAGAGGUAAGUGGAAUUCAUAGUGUAGCGGUGAAAUGCGUAGAUAUUAGGAGGAACACCAGUGGCGAAGGCGGCUGACUGGACAGUAACUGACGUUGAGGCUCGAAAGCGUGGGGAGCAAACAGGAUUAGAUACCCCUGUAGUC